GACAGAGGGUGCAAGCGUUAAUCGGAAUGACUGGGCGUAAAGGGUGCGUAGGUGGUUGGUUGCGUAAGUUGUGAAAGACCUGGGCUUAACCUGGGGGUGACGACUUAAACGGGCUAACUAGAGUGAGGUAGAGGGGGGUGGAAUUUCCGGUGUAGCGGUGAAAUGCGUAGAGAUCGGAAAGAAGGCCGGUGGCGAAGGCGGCCCCCUGGGCCUAUACUGACACUGAGGCACGAGAGCAUGGGGAGCAAACAGG
rnacentral:rRNA from 1 species